AUUGAACGCUGGCGGAAUGCUUUACACAUGCAAGUCGAACGAUGAAGCCUAGCUUGCUAGGUCGAUUAGUGGCGAACGGGUGAGUAAUAUAUCGGAACGUAUCCAAUAAUGGGGGAUAACUAGUCGAAAGAUUGGCUAAUACCGCAUACGUCCUACGGGAGAAAGCUGGGGAUCGUAAGACCUGGCGUUAAUGGAGCGGCCGAUAUCUGAUUAGCUAGUUGGCGAGGUAAAGGCUCACCAAGGCGACGAUCAGUAGCGGGUCUGAGAGGACGACCAGCCACACUGGAACUGAGACACGGUCCAGACUCCUACGGGAGGCAGCAGUGGGGAAUUUUGGACAAUGGGCGAAAGCCUGAUCCAGCCAUUCCGCGUGAGUGAAGAAGGCCUUCGGGUUGUAAAGCUCUUUCGCAAGGGAAGAACACUUACUUAAUAACACUAAGUGAGGUUGACGGUACCUUGAUAAGAAGCACCGGCUAACUACGUGCCAGCAGCCGCGGUAACAC
rnacentral:rRNA from 1 species